rnacentral:rRNA from 1 species
GAUGAACGCUGGCGGCGUGCCUAAUACAUGCAAGUCGAGCGAACAGACGAGGAGCUUGCUCCUCUGACGUUAGCGGCGGACGGGUGAGUAACACGUGGAUAACCUACCUAUAAGACUGGGAUAACUUCGGGAAACCGGAGCUAAUACCGGAUAAUAUAUUGAACCGCAUGGUUCAAUAGUGAAAGACGGUUUUGCUGUCACUUAUAGAUGGAUCCGCGCCGCAUUAGCUAGUUGGUAAGGUAACGGCUUACCAAGGCAACGAUGCGUAGCCGACCUGAGAGGGUGAUCGGCCACACUGGAACUGAGACACGGUCCAGACUCCUACGGGAGGCAGCAGUAGGGAAUCUUCCGCAAUGGGCGAAAGCCUGACGGAGCAACGCCGCGUGAGUGAUGAAGGUCUUCGGAUCGUAAAACUCUGUUAUUGGGGAAGAAAAGAUGUGUAAGUAACUAUGCACGUCUUGACGGUACCUAAUCAGAAAGCCACGGCUAACUACGUG